rnacentral:rRNA from 1 species
AGAGUUUGAUCCUGGCUCAGGACGAACGCUGGCGGCGUGCCUGACGCAUGCAAGUCGAGCGAGGAAGAGGAGAUAGCUUGCUAACUCCUGUUUCUAGCGGCGGACGGGUGAGUAACGCGUGAGCAACCUGCCUUUAUCAGGGGGAUAACGCAUCGAAAGAUGUGCUAAUACCGCGUAAGACCACAGCCUCACAUGGGGCAGGGGUCAAAGGAGCAAUCCGGAUAAAGAUGGGCUCGCGUCCGAUUAGCUAGUUGGUGAGAUAACAGCCCACCAAGGCGACGAUCGGUAGCCGACCUGAGAGGGUGAUCGGCCACAUUGGAACUGAGAUACGGUCCAGACUCCUACGGGAGGCAGCAGUGGGGAAUAUUGGGCAAUGGGCGAAAGCCUGACCCAGCAACGCCGCGUGAGGGAAGAAGGGUUUCGGCUCGUAAACCUCUGUCCUAUGGGACGAAGGAAGUGACGGUACCAUAGGAGGAAGCCCCGGCUAACUACGUGCCAGCAGCCGCGGU